rnacentral:lncRNA from 1 species
UAACGAGACCCUUAAUCGCUGGGUUGAAGUUUCUAAUCAAGAAGAUGCUCAUCUAUGUAUUCAACAAAGCAGCUUCCCUUGCUUCUGAAAUGCUUCCAAACAACAUCUCAUAUUUCCUGAAGAAGAUAAUGCCUGGACAAGCAGCACAAGUCAUUCAGGAGGAAGAGGGUAAUCUGGAAGAGUUUCCUGACCUACUCUGCUGCUGUGAUUAAACAACCACCAGGAAAUUUUGAUGACACUGUUCUCCUGAGCUCCUCCCUUUCCUCGGGGAAGAAAAGCAUUGAAACUACAAAAAUAAAGUGUUAUUUGGCUGGAGUGAGGUCUCAUGUCUGCUUAUGCGGUGGCUCGCUGCUCAGAACAGGGAACCAUUGGAGAUACUCAUUACUCUUUGAAGGCUUACAGUGGAAUGAAUUCAAAUACGACUUAUUUGAGGAAUUGAAGUUGACUUUAUGGAGCUGAUAAGAAUCUUCUUGGAGAAAAAAAGACUGGUACUUCUGAAUUAACCAAAAUCACAGUAUUCUGAAGAUGAUUCUACAAAGCCUGCUGUUUCUACAAAGGCUGCUGAUGAUUUCUACAAAGCCUGCUGUAGUGUUGCUGUGGCCUCUGCUUAAAAAAGUAGAAAACACAUUGAUGCAGCAUGUUCACCCCAACCUCCCUGCCUAAAGGCUCAGGGACCAUCUUGGAAGAGGAAGGCGCGUGAGAUUGUAAGAGCCGAAUUAGGGGGAUGGAGUGUGGAGAAUAAGGACACUUCAUCUUGGAUGCUCACCUGCCAAAUUGACUUCUGAUGAAAGCCAGCUCCAGAAAUGUGCCUACAGUUACUACUUUCACCUAAACCCUGCCCUUAGUCAAAUCCUUCUCUUCUUCUAAGCAAUCAACUUCAAUUCCUUGUAUAACCCACAGUAUAAAAGGGCUUUUAUACCAUUCUAUCCUAUUGCAUGUAAGCCUUGGGUCUGGGAGGUAACAGUGUGGGAUUCCACCAUCUCAUCUCCCUGCCACCCAAACAUGCCUGCUCUUCUUUAAGCAAUAUUAAAUGUUUGUACUUCAGAAAUUUGAUUUGUCAGCCUCUUCUUCAGACUCUCAGCUUCUUUGGCCUUUGGGAGUAAAUUUGCAUAGGCCUGCUCAAAACAGGAUGUUCUGGGGGUUUGGGGGUGUUGUUUUGUUUUGUUUUUUGUUUUGUUUAGAGACAGGGUCUCACUCUGUCACCCAGGUUGGAGUGCAGUGGUGCAAUCAUGGCACACUGCAGCCUCAAACUCCUAGGCUCAAGCAAUCCCCCCACCUUGGCCUCCCAAAGUUCUGGGAUUACAAGCAUAAGCCACCAUGCCCAGCCCUGGACUUUUC